AUUGAACGCUGGCGGCAGGCCUAACACAUGCCAGUCGAACGGUAACAGGAAGACGCUUGCUUCUUUGCUGACGAGUGGCGGACGGGUGAGUAAUGUCUGGGAAACUGCCUGAUGGAGGGGGAUAACUACUGGAAACGGUAGCUAAUACCGCAUAACGUCGCAAGACCAAAGAGGGGGACCUUCGGGCCUCUUGCCAUCGGAUGUGCCCAGAUGUGAUUAGCUAGUAGGUGGGGUAACGGCUCACCUAGGCGACGAUCCCUAGCUGGUCUGAGAGGAUGACCAGACAGACUGGAACUGAGAAACGGUACAGACUCCGACGGGAGGCAGCAGUGGGGAAUAUUGCACGAUGGGGGCAAGCCUGAUGCAGCAAUGCCGCGUGUAGGAAGAAGGACUUCGGGUUGUAAAGUACUUUCAGCGGGGAGGAAGGGAGGAAAGUUAAUACCUUUGCUCAUUGACGGUACCCGCAGAAGAAGCACCGGCUAACUCCGUG
rnacentral:rRNA from 1 species